GUGGGGAAUCUUCCACAAUGGACGAAAGUCUGAUGGAGCAACGCCGCGUGAGUGAAGAAGGGUUUCGGCUCGUAAAGCUCUGUUGUCGGGGACGAAUGUGCAGUAUUUGAAUAAAGUACUGUAAUGACGGUACCUGACGAGGAAGCCACGGCUAACUACGUGCCAGCAGCCGCGGUAAUACGUAGGUGGCAAGCGUUGUCCGGAAUUAUUGGGCGUAAAGGGAGCGCAGGCGGGAAGGUAAGUCGGUCUUAAAAGUGCGGGGCUCAACCCCGUGAUGGGAUCGAAACUAUCUUUCUUGAGUGCAGGAGAGGAAAGUGGAAUUCCUAGUGUAGCGGUGAAAUGCGUAGAUAUUAGGAGGAACACCAGUGGCGAAGGCGACUUUCUGGACGGUGUCUGACACUGAGGCGCGAAAGCUAGGGGAGCGAACGGGAUUAGAUACCCUAGUAGUCC
rnacentral:rRNA from 1 species